GGGCCCGCACAAGCAGCGGAGCAUGUGGUUUAAUUCGAAGCAACGCGAAGAACCUUACCAGGUCUUGACAUCGAGGCAAAGCCGUAGAGAUACGGUGUUCAGCAAUGAAGCCGAAGACAGGUGGUGCAUGGUUGUCGUCAGCUCGUGUCGUGAGAUGUUGGGUUAAGUCCCGCAACGAGCGCAACCCUUAUUGUCAGUUACUAACGGGUAAAGCCGAGGACUCUGACGAGACUGCCGGGGACAACUCGGAGGAAGGUGGGGACGACGUCAAAUCAUCAUGCCCCUUAUGACCUGGGCUACACACGUGCUACAAUGGUGGUAACAAAGAGUCGCGAGCCCGUAAGGUGGAGCGAAUCUCAUAAAAGCCAUCUCAGUUCGGAUUGUGGGCUGCAACCCGCCCACAUGAAGUUGGAGUUGCUAGUAAUCGCGGAUCAGCAUGCCGCGGUGAAUACGUUCCCGGGCCUUGUACACACCGCCCGUCACACCAUGGGAGUCGGGAGCC
rnacentral:rRNA from 1 species